AAAAGCUGUGAUUAAUUGCUAAAAAGUUUUCUUAAAAAAAACCUAUAGUCUUCACCAAAAAGAAAAAGAAACCGUACCUUCCGCCAGUCCUCCACGCACGCACGCACUGCACGUUCUCCAUCUCCUUCCUUCGUUCCUUCUUCCACGCCCCAUUACCAUAGUUAAGGAUCGCUUUCCCUGCGCCGAAUCCAAAAGUUCAAUACCGAAUUCGAUCAAGAGUUCAAUUCCAAUCCACUCAAACCGAAAUCUCCCAAAUCCAAAAUUAAAGAGUUCCCUUCAAUCCAAAUCCCGAUUUUUCGUGUUUAAGCUUCUUCUCCGGCGAACUUUUCUCGGCGCGACUGCAUUUCCGUCUUUCCUGGUGAACCUCAGGUGCAAAUUGGUUCACAUACGUUCAUGUUUGAUUACAUUUUCGGAAAUGGGGGAAAGCCAUCUCUCGCAUUUUUGAAAAAUCUGUUGCCCCUUUGGUUGAUGCUUUGUACAAGGGAUAUAGUGGAACCGUCCUCACUUAUGGACAGAACCCAUAAGCUUCAUAUUGCAACUCCACAUCUGGGUUCUCGAGGUCACAGACAGGUGGGUACCUCAGCUAGACCUGCAUGAGUGUUUUACCUCAACUCGAACUAUUAUUUCUCAUAUGAGUUUCUCUAUUUUAGAGCCACUUAGAUUGUUAAUUUGUGCCUGGUACCUGCCACAGACAAGCUGGAUAUUUGUCCUGCCUCUAAAAAGCUUAUUUUUCAAAUUUUAGCUCCUACAAUGUGCACUCAAACAUCGCCAAACUUUAAUUCUUGAGUCUUUCAGUAUAUAUAUGUCUAGAGAGUCGAUUUACAUCAUUGUCAUUGGAUUAGGCCAUUAGCUCUACAUCUUUUCUCAGUCAAACUUGGUAAACAUUGAGGUUGGUCAAAGAUAUCCCCUUGAGUCAUAGGAAACCUGCUGAUAUUCGUUAUUGGUGGCCUGCCCGUGAUGGAAUUUUUACUACAAAAUCGGGGUAUUAGCUUGAUCGUUUGAACCAGAAUUCAUGGCUGGUCUGCCAGCAGAACACAUAUGACAACAUCUCCUUCCAGGCCGUGUUGGAUGCCUCCGGUGCAUAGCCGAGUAAGAGUCAAUACUGACUCUUUUGUGAUCGAUGGCUGUGAUGUGAGGCUAGGUGUUGUGGUUAGAGAUAAAAUUGUCUGCUGGCUGUUGCGAUUCGCAAAUGUAGUGAUGUUUGGAGUGUGGACCUUGCUGAGGCUAUGGCUGCAAGGUUCGGGCUUGAGGUAGCGAUAGGCUUGGGCUACGGAAAGAUUGGGCUUGAAAUGGAUGCAAUGAAUUUGGUGAGUGUCUUACGCAACAAGAAGAUUGGAAGGUCCCAGGUUGAUCUCAUCAUAGAAGACAUUGUGGAAAUGACCAAUGUGCUGAUUUUCUUCUCGGUGCACCAUGUGAAACGCACUGGAAAAACGCUUUCCGUUUAUUACUUGUGUUGAGAGCCAACUUUCUUAAGGCAAGUAUGUACACUUAGGGGAAAACUUGUUUCAAGGAAUUGGGUUUGAAUCCAAAACUUGUUACUAGUUACAAAGGUGAAUAUGGAAAAAAGGUCAGUCUUCUAUCUUCACCUUUUCUUGUUGAUCUGAUGUCUUGUUAAUAUAUUCUGAAAUUAAGUCGUUGAUCUAUUUCCUUGCAGCUUCAGCUAAAAUAUGCAACAAACUUUAUUUGAAGAUGUAUGUAUUUUUCUUUGUUCAAUUAUUCCUAAACGUUAUAUGUGUUACUAAUUAUCUUUUUGAAUUUUUUUGUUCAACAAUCUAAUACUCGAAAUCAUACUAAGUUAGCAAUUUAAUACUCAAAAUCUAUCUUGAUUUUUAUAAAUUUUGUUUCUUAUUUUGGAUUAAAAUUGAUUUAUUGUCAGAUUUUUAUUUGGUGAUUUUUGUUUGCCAAUUUAUGAUUAUAUGUGGAGGAGUAUAGAGAAUCCAGACUUGAACUUGCUGUUGUUUGAAUAAUUGCUGAAUAUAAACGGACUUCUGAAUGAUGCCAUUGACCUAGAGGGUAAUAGAUGUUAGAAGGGCUUUAGAGUUCUUACACUGAUUCCUAUCAGUGCCUCGCUUUCUGCUCAUGAAUUUUGCAAUGCGGGCAGAGCUUUGCUUCAGAAGUUUAUAUUUAUAUAUAAGAAGAUGCAUGAGUAGAAGCUUAAUGUUGUACAAUGUCAAUAUGUAAUCGAUCUAGGAUACUUACCAAUAUAUACAAGUAAUACAACCCUUAUAUGCUAGUUGUAGGCUACAAAAGGCUACAAAUCAGGGAGAUAAUAUCACAAGAUUGUCUACUUGCUAAAUAUGAUAUACAAAAAGAUUAUUAACAUAAUCUUUCAGUCUGUAUGGGCUUUUAAAUUUUCCAAAAUGUUAUUCUACCUAUACCAUACAAUAACCAUGAGGUUUGGUGCAGCCAUGCAGGCAUUCGAAGGAAAUUCUUCUGACUUACUAUGCUUAUUAUUACUUUUCCUCCAAAAUGGACCUUUAAUUGGUCCCUAUGUGUUAUCUUUCUCCUUUAAUUGAGAUUUUAGAAAUUAUCAUUAUUUAGCUAAUGUGGUGUUGCCUUUCUUUGUGUAUCACCAGGGGAAAUCAUGUGUUCUUUUCUCUGAUACUACUCAAUUUUUCUGUGGUGUCAUCUAGCAAACUUAUGAAUUUUCGCAUCCAGGAGCAAAUGAAUUAUUUCUCCACACAUAUACACGCAGGUUAUUCAACUCUGAUAUGAGAGAUCUCUUUGCUAAAAUAUGUGACCUUCGUGAAUUACUUAAUUUGAGUGAGAGUUUUGUACUUAAUAGGAAAAUCAUGUCCUAUAAUAUGACCUGCGACUCUGUGAGUUGUUUGUUGGUUGUGGUUCUACAGGAAGGGAAGACAAUGUGGCCUCGACUGAUUUGGUUGUUGCAGGAAGCAUUGUACAUUGUACUGGCGUCUAUCUCUAAAGCAGUUGAUCACACUGGUUGUAUGUGAAGUUUGACUGAAAAUUCAACAGAUUGGCAGAGCUGAUUAUUCACUGGCACAGAAAAUUGAGGGGGAUAAAAAAUUCUCGUUCUGAGUACAUCAAGAAUACAUUGACGACAGUUGCGGCAACCAAAGGAAGAGUCUUCUUAGCACCGAUUAAUUAUGUUUUUCGACUGGAAUUUCUUUACAACGUUUUAAUUUUAUAUGUUUUCUAGUGUGUUUUUAUUCUAGUGUGUAUUUAAGUUAUGCAUGAGACAUCGAGACGUUUAUUUGAUAUGAUUGAAAUGAAGUUGGAUCUUAUAUAUGUUCAA